rfam:Triticum aestivum genome assembly, contig: Triticum_aestivum_CS42_TGACv1_scaffold_212778_3AS
AUAGUACUCCCUCCGUUCCGAAUUACUUGUCUUGGAUUUAUCUAGAUACGGACGUAUCUAACACUAAAAUGAGUCUAGAUACAUCCGUAUCUAGACAAAUCCAAGACAAGUAAUUCGGAACGGAAGGAGUACAAA